CUUAGCUCAGCUGGAUAGAGCAACAGCCUUCUAAGCUGUGGGUCGAGGGUUCGAAUCCUUCAG
rnacentral:tRNA from 1 species